rnacentral:rRNA from 1 species
UACGUAGGGUGCGAGCGUUGCCCGGAUUUAUUGGGCGUAAAGGGCGCGUAGGCGGCUCUGCACGUCCGUUGUGAAAUCGCCCGGCUCAACUGGGCGGGGUCAGCGGAUACGGCGGAGCUUGAGCAAGCUAGGGGGCAAUGGAAUUCCCGGUGUAGUGGUGGAAUGCGUAGAUAUCGGAAGGAACACCUGUGGCGAAAGCGGCUCACUGGACCAUAACUGACGCUGAGGCGCGAAAGCUAGGGGAGCAAACAGG